rnacentral:miRNA from 1 species
GGGGAUUAGAGGGGCUAAAAUCAC